CACAAGCAGCGGAGCGUGUGGUUAAUUCGAUGCUACACGAAGAACCUUACCAGGGUUUGACAUGUAAGUGGUAGUGAUCUGAAAAGUGAACGACCCUUCGGGGAGCUUACACAGGUGCUGCAUGGCUGUCGUCAGCUCGUGUCGUGAGAUGUUCGGUUAAGUCCGCUAACGAGCGCAACCCUCACUGUGUGUUAUACGUGUCACACGGGACUGCCGGUUUUAAGCCGGAGGAAGGCGAGGAUGACGUCAAGUCAGCAUGGCCUUUAUAUCCUGGGCUACACACACGCUACAAUGGGUGAUACAACAGGUUGCAAUAGAGUAAUCUGGAGCCAAUCCCUAAAAUCAUCCUCAGUACGGAUUGCAGGCUGCAACUGCCUGCAUGAAGUUGGAGUUGCUAGUAAACGCAGGUCAGCACACUGCGUUGAAUACGUUCUCGGGCCUU
rnacentral:rRNA from 1 species